AAUUUAAAUUUAAAAUUUAAAAUUUUUGUUUUAAUUUAGUUUUAAUUUUAAUUGUUGUUUUAAUUUUAAUUUUAAAUUCAAAUUUUAAAUUAUUUUAAAAUAAAAUUUAGUAAAAAAAUUAUUAUUUGGAAACAACAAAAAAUUAUUGCCAAGCAACUUUACAAAGUUACUUAAAAAAUUUGCUUUCCAUCUAAGCUUAGUCUAACGCUCAUCAGUUUUUAAUCAAAUUUAGUUCUUCAAACCAAAAUCAAUUAUGGAGAAAUCACUUUUUCAGAAUUUAUGCCAAACAGGCCCUCGGACUUGCUUAUUUGUCCUACUUAGAAGACUAAUAUAAAAAAUACCCUUUUAAUUUUAUUUUUUUUUGAGAGAUAGAUAGCACGCUACCCGCUUCGUUUAUUUCGUUUAGAAAUAAACUUAGCUGAAAAUGUGAAUCAACUAGAAUUCGAACUUGAGUCUCGGGUACCAACCACCAAGCCCUUUGCCACUUGCUCUAGUGAUGGUCGGUCCUUUUAAUGUUUUAAGUUCUUUCAAAUAUAUCCUAGGGUAGAUUGUGUUAAGUGAACCAUUAUUUACAGCCGUUAUCUCUGCAAAAUUAUUAUUUUGCCAUUACAAAUAUAUCUUUCUACUAUCACCAGUUUUUCUUAUUUGCUAUUAAACUAGGGGCAAAAUAAGUAUUUUGAUUUUUUGCCCUUUCAAAUAUGUCAUUCUGCUAUCACCUCCUUUUCUCAUUUGACCUUCAAUUAGGGAUAAAAUAAGUAUUUUGACUUUUUUUAAACUGUGAUAAAAAAUUUAUACGAAUUUAAUCCGAAAUGACUUAACGGGUACUAAUAGAAGGGUUAUUUUUGAAUAAUGGAGAAACAUACAAGAAAUAUAUUUAAAAUAAAAAAAGUUGAGGUAUAUUUGUAUAAGAUAUUUUGGAAGUUUUGAAUAAAGAUGUUCGUGGACUGGGUCGUGUCUGGAUAGUUUAUAUACUGUACCUAUACCCUAAAAAGAAAUGAGUAGAAAAUUUUAUAUAUAUAUAUAUAUAUAUAUAGACUGGAAUACUAUUAAUAGUAAAACCCUCUUUUUGCUAUCAUGUUUUUAACCAUUGGAUGAAAAAUUGUAGGGUUAGGAUGAUAUUAGUUAGUUAGAGUUGAGUGGUCCCCCUAGGGUUGAGUGGUCCCCACCGGGUUAUAGUAUUUAAUCCAAUUGUUAGAAAUGAUGAAAAGAGUUGAUCCAAAGGCUAACAAACUGGUAGCAACAAUGGGAUUUUGCUACUAAUAGUAGCCCAGUCCAACUCUCUCUCUCUCUCAUAUAUAUAUAUAUAGAGAGAGAGAGAGAGAGAGUUGAGUUAGAAUACUAUCGAUAGCAAAUGGACUCCGUUGCCACCCAUUUGUUUUCAAUGAUGAAGCCUCUGAAUCGACGAUCGGCACUGUUAAACAUGAUCUAUACCACUUGAAGUGUUUAGAAAUCAAAUUUCAAAUCUUUUCGACAUUAUUUGCCUAAUAAUCAAAGGGUUUCAAAAUUUGUAAUUUUAAUGGUCGAUAUGAGGCGUUUUCUCGUUUAACGGUAUAAAGAUAUCCAAAUCAAUUGAAUUUUUGUUAGAAAAUUCUUUAAACUAUUUAAAACAAGAUCUAUACUCUUGAUCUUAAUUACAAGACUCCUAUCAUCAUUUUUUAAAGAA
rnacentral:lncRNA from 1 species